rnacentral:rRNA from 1 species
AGUAGGUGAGGUAACGGCUCACCUAGGCGACGAUACAUAGCCGACCUGAGAGGGUGAUCGGCCACACUGGGACUGAGACACGGCCCAGACUCCUACGGGAGGCAGCAGUAGGGAAUCUUCGGCAAUGGGGGCAACCCUGACCGAGCAACGCCGCGUGAGUGAAGAAGGUUUUCGGAUCGUAAAGCUCUGUUGUAAGUCAAGAACGAGUGUGAGAGUGGAAAGUUCACACUGUGACGGUAGCUUACCAGAAAGGGACGGCUAACUACGUGCCAGCAGCCGCGGUAAUACGUAGGUCCCGAGCGUUGUCCGGAUUUAUUGGACGUAAAGCGAGCGCAGGCGGUUUGAUAAGUCUGAAGUUAAAGGCUGUGGCUCAACCAUAGUUCGCUUUGGAAACUGUCAAACUUGAGUGCAGAAGGGGAGAGUGGAAUUCCAUGUGUAGCGGUGAAAUGCGUAGAUAUAUGGAGGAACACCGGUGGCGAAAGCGGCUCUCUGGUCUGUAACUGACGCUGAGGCUCGAAAGCGUGGGGAGCGAACAGGAUUAGAUACCCUGGUAGUCCACGCCGU